AUGAGGGAAGGCAAGCCUGAUCCGGCCAUCGCCGUCUUCCUCGCCGCCCUCUUCGUUGCGUCGGCGGUGCCCCUGAUCAACGGAGCCGACGGGGAAGAGCCCGUAACGCAGCUGUCGAACGGCUUCACCGCGACGCACUUGGCCGACGCGCCGGGGCGGUUCGAGCCGGUGCUGUACUCGCACAACGGCGUCUUCGCCUUCGGCUUCCUCCGCGUCGGCUCGGCGUCCCUGGACCUCGCCGUCGUCCACCUACCUUCGUCCUUCCCACUCUGGCGUGCCACGCCGGACCGUGUCGCCGACUGGUCGCGGCCGGCUACGCUCUCCUUCGACAGCCGCCUGGUCCUCACCGUCCCCAGGGUCGGCGAGCUCUGGAGCACCCUCAACGUCGUCGGCGAUACGGUCGCGCUCCUCAACUCGUCCGACCUCGUCAUCCGGCUCUUCAACGGGCGCGGUACGCCUUGGCGUAGCUUUGAAAACCCAUCGGACACGCUCGUCCUAGGCCAGAACUUCACCAUGUCCUCGCCGCCGCUCAUCUCCAAGAACCGCCGCUUCUCUCUGCGGUUCGCCAAGACGUACAUGGCGCUGUACAUGGAGUUCUACGGUGGAAGCAAGAGGCCGAUGUACUGGCAGUACACGGCUCGCGAGGCCCAGCCAGAGAACGCAACGCAGCCGCCGGUGUACGGACGCCUGGACAGCCGCGGCUUCUUCGGGUUCUACCUCCUGGGUGGCGACCAGAGCGUCGACAUGCUUGCGUUCGACACAUUCGUCCGGAACCUCACCGGCGCCUUUCGGCGGAUGACCCUGGACGACGACGGCAACCUCCGCGCAUACUACUGGACAGAGGGCUCCAAAGCUUGGACCUCCGACUACAAGGCCAUUUCCGGGCCGUGCGAGCUGCCGACCUCGUGCGGCGCUUACGGCCUGUGCGUGCCCGGAGGAGCGCCCAGGUGCCAGUGUCUCAUCAACAGCACCGCACCGAUCGCCCCGCAAUGCCGCGCCGAGGAGUCCACCGACCUCUGCGGGGGCGGCGGGGGGCAGCUGUUCGACGUUGUGCGGCGGAACCGGGUGUCACUGGCGUACAAGGAGCAGCUGCCGUUCGAGACGUACAAGACGGCGGCGGAGUGCGAGCAGUCGUGCGCGGCCAGCUGCAGCUGCUGGGGCGCGGUGUACAACGGCGGGAGCGGGUACUGCUACCUCGUCGACUUUCCCGUGGAGACGGUGGUGUACGAGGCCGACGACCGGAAGGUGGGCUAUUUCAAGAUCAGGAAGGCGCGACAGCAUAGCGCAGCGGGGCGGGGCAUGUCGCCAGGCGUGACAGCCGCGGUGGUGGUUGCGUCGCUGGUCCUGGCGAGCCUGGCCGUGGCCGGGGCGUACGUCGGGUGGCAGCGGUGGCUGCGGCAACGGCGGGCUGGCGGUGUGGGGAUGGAGCAGGAGCUGACGCCGGGCCAUUACAGGGACCUCAAGUCCAUGGACAGCCCAAACAAUUCCUUCAAGACGUGA
rnacentral:rRNA from 1 species